GAUGAAGAACGCAGCGAAAUGCGAUACUUGGUGUGAAUUGCAGAAUCCCGUGAACCAUCGAGUCUUUGAACGCAAGUUGCGCCCGAAGCCACUAGGCCGAGGGCACGCCUGCCUGGGCGUCACACGCCGUUGCCCCCCCAUCUACUCCUUCGGGAUUGCGGGGGGGCGGAUGAUGGCCUCCUGUGCGCCUAGCCGCGCGGUUGGCAUAAAUACCAAGUCCUCGGCGACGCACGCCCCGACAAUCGGUGGUUGCGAAACCUCGGUUGCCCGUCGUGUGCGUUCGUCGCGCAUCGAGGGCUCGAAAAAAUGCUCGGCUCCGGCUGGGCUUUCAACGCGACCCCAGGUCAGGCGGGGUUACCCGCUGAAUUUAAGCAUAUCAAUAAGCGGAGGA
rnacentral:misc_RNA from 1 species